AACGAACGCUGGCGGCAUGCCUAACACAUGCAAGUCGAACGAGACCUUCGGGUCUAGUGGCGCACGGGUGCGUAACGCGUGGGAACCUGCCCUUAGGUUCGGAAUAACUCCCCGAAAGGGGUGCUAAUACCGGAUAAUGUCUUCGGACCAAAGAUUUAUCGCCUUUGGAUGGGCCCGCGUUGGAUUAGCUAUUUGGUAGGGUAAAAGCCUACCAAGGCGACGAUCCAUAGCUGGUCUGAGAGGAUGAUCAGCCACACUGGGACUGAGACACGGCCCAGACUCGUACGGGAGGCAGCAGUGGGGAAUAUUGGACAAUGGGCGAUAGCCUGAUCCAGCAAUGCCGCGUGAGUGAUGAAGGCCUUAGGGUUGUAAAGCUCUUUUACCCGGGGUGAUAAUGACGGUACCGGGAGAAUAAGCUCCGGCUAACUCCGUG
rnacentral:rRNA from 1 species